rnacentral:rRNA from 1 species
AUUGAACGCUGGCGGCAGGCCUAACACCUGCAAGUCGAACGAGUGGCGGACGGGUGAGUAAUGUCUGGGAAACUGCCCGAUGGCGGGGGAUAACUACUGGAAACGGUAGCUAAUACCGCCUACCAUCGGAUGUGCCCAGAGGGGAUUAGCUAGUCGGGGGGGUAACGGCUCACCUAGGCGACGAUCCCUAGCUGGUCUGAGAGGAGGACCAGCCAAACGGGAACUGAGACACGGUCAAGACUCAUACGGGAGGCAGCAGUGGGGAAUAUUGCACAAUGGGCGCAAGCCGGAUGCAGCCCUGCCGCGUGUAUGAAGAAGGCCUUCGGGUUGUAAAGUACUUUCAGCGAGGAGGCGUUACUCGCAGAAGAAGCACCGGCUAACUCCGUGCCAGCAGCCGCGGUAAUAC